rnacentral:lncRNA from 1 species
GGCAACCUGCUGCGGUCUUCUUCCACACUGUGGAAGCUCUGUUCCUUCGCUCUUUGCAAUAAAUCUUGCUACUGCUCACUCUUCGGGUCCAUACUGUUUUUAUGAGCUGUAACACUCACCGCGAAGAUCUGCAGCUUCACUCCUGAAGCCAGCGAGACCACAAGCCCACUGGGAGGAGCGAACAACUCCAGACGCGCCGCCUUAAGAGCUGUAACACUCACUGCAAAGGUCUGCAGCUUUACUCCUGAGCCAGCGAGACCGUGAACCCACCAGAAGGAAGAAACUCUGAACACAUCCAAACAUCAGAAGGAACAAACUCCAGACGUGCCACCUUAAAAGCUGUAACACUCACCGCGAGGGUCCGCGGCUUCAUUCUUGAAGUCAGUGAGACCAAGAACCCACCAAUUCCGGACACAAUAGGACAUUGCUGGAAAAAGUUAAUUUUAGUUUCAGAUUCCAGGUGUGGUUUUGUUCCUCAUUUUCUCUAAUUUACCCAGCACCGGGCCUAGAAUAUAGAAGGUCCUCAAUUAAUAUUUGUGAAAUGAAUGAGGAAACGAAUGGAGGAAUGUUGAGUAAAGACAUUGGAGUGAAUUAGAAUCUCCUGGCUCUCUUGGUCAACGUUUGAAUCGGAUCUAUAAGCCAAGGGUUAAGAUCAUUGUUGCUAAUAUUGUGGAGGUUACAAUUUCUAUCAGUUAACAUGUUUCUCAGCAUUAUUACCUUUUAACUUUAAUAGUUUUCUUGAAAGGCAACCUUUAGUACCAUUGAAUUGUACUGUAUUAAAGUGCAAAAAUUGCCAUUGAUUAUACUAAUUAUUAUCUGCUGAAAGUUUCGGUCAGCGAGACCUGAGGAAACAAGUCCUGCUCUACUUUUAUUCAUACCAGCUUGAUAUUCAUAUCAUGUCAUUUAAUAUUAGUUUUAGGUUUCUCUAAAAAUAUUACCUUUUGUAGACAUAUACAGACACCUAUUUAGCACAUGUUAUAUGCCUGAACAAUGCUUAGCUGAUGUAAAUUUAAAUAUAAUGGAAAGCUUCCAAGGGCUUUGUUACAACUGAACCAGUGGCUCUCUCAAAUUUUUUGAGACAUGCUCAUUUUUUAAAAAUUCUAUUCAUACUUGAAGAUAGAAGCAAAAGUAUUCCUGAAAAUAUCAUAGCCAAGAAGUGGCAUGAAAUAAUGAGAGUGAUUAAAUGAAAUCUUUGGAAAUGUUUAUACCCAUUGUAUUAAUCUGUCUACACACAUUUAACUGCCUUUCAGAUAUUCAUUUCAGAUCCCAACACAAAUGUUUCUCAGCCUCUUAAAGACUUGGUAGUUCUAGCUCUCUGGUUACCUGAUGAAUUUGUUGAUUUAAUGUUAUUGUCUCUAAUUCUGUUUGAUAAAGGUUACUAACCUAUGGUACUGGAAACUAGGGGGGAAGAACCUCUCUUCUGACUUAGCUUUUUGACUACUCUUGGUACCCUGCAUGAAUAGGUCAGUAAAUCUUGAUCUACUUGCUGCCACUGCACAGUUGAAAGGCUGAGAGACAGGGUUAGAUCCUAUAUCAUAAGUUUAGAGUAGGAGUUUACAUAGAAAUCUACUCAGGGCCACCAUGUAUAUUCAUACAAGUCAUGCACUUUAUUACAAGCUUGCUAUGAAUGGUUCCUUCAGUAUUGUGCAGUACAAAACUUGCACCAUCCUACAAAGAAGUCACAGGUCCAACUACUUUUUUCCUUUUCCCUUGAGAUGCCAACUCCAGGGCAUUUGUUUCUUACACGCGUAACUGUCAUUUUAAAAGCAUGGCCCUUCGUAUUCUACUUUCACAAUCUUAGAUACAGAGAGAAGGCAAGCUAUGGGUUUCCAUACUUAGAUUUGCUAUCUCAAGUACCAACUCUCCUUUUAUGGAUUCCUUUUUCUGCAAGUGAGAAACAUCCCACUUUCAUUUUUAAUUUUCUGUAGAUAACUUAGCAAUGGAAACACAAUAAAUAAGUUUUUGGGCUUUUAGAAACAUCUAGAGUAAGACAAGAAGUCGAACCAGCCUACUGUGUAUGUUGACAUGGUGCUGGUGACAGGAGUUUUUAGGAUUACAAUUGAUUCACCUAUCAAACUUCCUUUUUUAUUAUUUUGUGAGUAUCUGCUUCACCCACAGGACUGAAACAACAUGUGUUUAAGAGCUGUGUCUGUUUUGUUCACAAUAUCUCUAAAAUCUACCACAAAGAACUUGCUAACAUUUUUUUGUAGAAUGAACUUGUAGAAUGCAUGUUAAAAAGUCUUCCAGUAUAUAUAAGCUGUAAAAUAAAAAUAUUAAUGAUUUAAUGAACAUCUAGCAAGUCAUGGCAUCUGAAAGCAGAACUAUAGUACUUAAAAUAUCAAAUUUAACUCUCUAUCUGUUAUUGGUGUAUAAGAAUGCCUGUGAUUUUUUCACAUUGAUUUUGCAUCCUGAGACUUUGCUGAAGUUGCUUAUCAGCUUAAGGAGAUUUUGGGCUGAGAUGAUGGGGUUUUCCAAAUAUACAAUCAUGUCAUCUGAAAACAGAGACAAUUUGACUUCCUCUUUUCCUAACUGGAUACCCUUUAUUUCUUUCUCCUGCCUGAUUGCCCUGGCCAGAACUUCCAACACUUUGUUGAAUAGGAGUGGUGAGAGAGGGCAUCCCUAUCUUGUGCCAGUUUUCAAAGGGAAUGCUUCCAGGUUUUGCCCAUUCAGUAUGAUAUUGGCUAUGGGUUUGUCAUAAAUAGCUCUUAUUAUUCUGAGAUACGUCCCAUCAGUACCUAAUUUAUUGAGAGUUUUUAGCAUGAAGGGCUGUUGAAUAUUGUCAAAGGCCUUUUCUGCAUCUAUUGAGAUAAUCAUGUGGUGUUUGUCUUUGGUUCUGUUUAUAUGCUGGAUUACGUUUAUUGAUUUGCAUUUGUUGAACCAGCCUUGCAUCCCAGGGAGGAAGCCCACUUGAUCAUGGUGGAUAAGCUUUUUGAUGUGCUGCUGGAUUCGGUUUGCCAGUAUUUUAUUGAGGAUUUUUGCAUUGAUGUUCAUCAGGGAUAUUGGUCUAAAAUUCUCUUUUUUGGUUGUGUCUCUGCCAGGCUUUGGUAUCAGGAUGAUGCUGGCCUCAUAAAAUGAGUUAGGGAGGAUUCCCUCUUUUUCUAUUGAUUGGAAUAGUUUCAGAAGGAAUGGUACCAGCUCCUCCUUAUACCUCUGGUAGAAUUCGACUGUGAGUCCGUCUGGUCCUGGACUUUUUUUGGUUGGUAGGCUAUUAAUUAUUGCCUCAAUUUCAGAGCCUGUUAUUGGUCUAUUCAGGGAUUCAACUUCUUCGUGGUUUAGUCUUGGGGGGGCGUAUGUGUCCAGGAAUUUAUCCAUUUCUUCUAGAUUUUCUAAUUUAUUUGCGUAGAGGUGUUUAUAGUAUUCUCUAAUGGUAGUUUGUAUUGCUGUGGGAUCGGUGGUGAUAUCCCCUUUAUCAGUUUUUAUUGCGUCUAUUUGAUUCUUCUCUCUUUUCUUCUUUAUUAGUCUUGCUAGCGGUCUUUUACUGGUUUUGACAUUUUG